rnacentral:rRNA from 1 species
UACGUAGGGUGCAAGCGUUGUCCGGAAUUAUUGGGCGUAAAGGGCGCGUAGGCGGCUUGGCAAGUGGAUGGUGAAAUCCCUCGGCUUAACCGAGGAACUGCCGUCCAAACUGCUUUGCUUGAGGCCGGGAGAGGUGAGUGGAAUUCCCAGUGUAGCGGUGAAAUGCGUAGAUAUUGGGAGGAACACCAGUGGCGAAGGCGGCUCACUGGACCGGUACUGACGCUGAUGCGCGAAAGCGUGGGGAGCAAACGGG